AAAUUGAAGAGUUUGAUCAUGGCUCAGAUUGAACGCUGGCGGCAGGCCUAACACAUGCAAGUCGAGCGGUAGCACAAGAGAGCUUGCUCUCUGGGUGACGAGCGGCGGACGGGUGAGUAAUGUCUGGGAAACUGCCUGAUGGAGGGGGGAUAACUACUGGAAACGGUAGCUAAUACCGCAUAACGUCUACGGACCAAAGUGGGGGACCUUCGGGCCUCACGCCAUCAGAUGUGCCCAGAUGGGAUUAGCUAGUAGGUGGGGUAAUGGCUCACCUAGGCGACGAUCCCUAGCUGGUCUGAGAGGAUGACCAGCCACACUGGAACUGAGACACGGUCCAGACUCCUACGGGAGGCAGCAGUGGGGAAUAUUGCACAAUGGGCGCAAGCCUGAUGCAGCCAUGCCGCGUGUGUGAAGAAGGCCUUAGGGUUGUAAAGCACUUUCAGCGAGGAGGAAGGGUAGUGUGUUAAUAGCACAUUGCAUUGACGUUACUCGCAGAAGAAGCACCGGCUAACUCCGUGCCAGCAGCCGCGGUAAUACGGAGGGUGCAAGCGUUAAUCGGAAUUACUGGGCGUAAAGCGCACGCAGGCGGUUUGUUAAGUCAGAUGUGAAAUCCCCGCGCUUAACGUGGGAACUGCAUUUGAAACUGGCAAGCUAGAGUCUUGUAGAGGGGGGUAGAAUUCCAGGUGUAGCGGUGAAAUGCGUAGAGAUCUGGAGGAAUACCGGUGGCGAAGGCGGCCCCCUGGACAAAGACUGACGCUCAGGUGCGAAAGCGUGGGGAGCAAACAGGAUUAGAUACCCUGGUAGUCCACGCUGUAAACGAUGUCGAUUUGGAGGUUGUGCCCUUGAGGCGUGGCUUCCGGAGCUAACGCGUUAAAUCGACCGCCUGGGGAGUACGGCCGCAAGGUUAAAACUCAAAUGAAUUGACGGGGGCCCGCACAAGCGGUGGAGCAUGUGGUUUAAUUCGAUGCAACGCGAAGAACCUUACCUACUCUUGACAUCCAGAGAACUUUCCAGAGAUGGAUUGGUGCCUUCGGGAACUCUGAGACAGGUGCUGCAUGGCUGUCGUCAGCUCGUGUUGUGAAAUGUUGGGUUAAGUCCCGCAACGAGCGCAACCCUUAUCCUUUGUUGCCAGCGAUUCGGUCGGGAACUCAAAGGAGACUGCCGGUGAUAAACCGGAGGAAGGUGGGGAUGACGUCAAGUCAUCAUGGCCCUUACGAGUAGGGCUACACACGUGCUACAAUGGCGUAUACAAAGAGAAGCGAACUCGCGAGAGCAAGCGGACCUCAUAAAGUACGUCGUAGUCCGGAUUGGAGUCUGCAACUCGACUCCAUGAAGUCGGAAUCGCUAGUAAUCGUAGAUCAGAAUGCUACGGUGAAUACGUUCCCGGGCCUUGUACACACCGCCCGUCACACCAUGGGAGUGGGUUGCAAAAGAAGUAGGUAGCUUAACCUUCGGGAGGGCGCUUACCACUUUGUGAUUCAUGACUGGGGUGAAGUCGUAACAAGGUAACCGUAGGGGAACCUGCGGUUGGAUCACCUCCUUA
rnacentral:rRNA from 1 species